AGCCCACAGGCGAAGUGAAAGCGCAAGCUUUUCGCUCUGCGAAUUGCUCCUUUUGACGGCUGAUCCUGCGACACUCUCGUGGGCGCAAGCCGCGGACUCUCGUGGUUCCCUUCACGGGGAGCCGAGGGUACCGAGAGCGCACUUGCCAGGACCCGAAAGAUGGUGAUCUAUGCUUGGACAGGACGAAUGCCAGGGGAAACCCUGGUGGAGGUCCGAAGUGCCUCUGACGUGCAAAUCGAUCAUCAGAUCUGAGCAUAGGGGCGAAAGACUAAUCGAACCAUC
rnacentral:rRNA from 1 species